rnacentral:rRNA from 1 species
UACAGAGGUCUCGACCGUUGUCCGGAUUUACUGGGCGUAAAGAGCGCGCAGGCGGUCGUUCAAGUCGAGUGUGAAAGCCCCCGGCUCAACUGGGGAGGGUCACUCGAUACUGAUCGACUUGAAGGCAGGAGAGGGAAGCGGAAUUCCCGGUGUAGUGGUGAAAUGCGUAGAUAUCGGGAGGAACACCAGUGGCGAAGGCGGCUUCCUGGCCUGUUCUUGACGCUGAGGCGCGAAAGCUAGGGGAGCAAACGGG